rnacentral:rRNA from 1 species
UACGGGGGGAGCAAGCGUUGUUCGGAUUUACUGGGCGUAAAGGGCGCGUAGGCGGUAGCACAAGUCAGUUGUGAAAUCUCCGGGCUUAACUCGGAAAGGUCAACUGAUACUGUGCGACUAGAGUGCAGAAGGGGCAACUGGAAUUCUCGGUGUAGCGGUGAAAUGCGUAGAUAUCGGGAGGAACACCAGUGGCGAAGGCGGCUUCCUGGACCGGUUCUGACACUGAGGAGCGAAAGCGUGGGGAGCGAUCCGG